rnacentral:rRNA from 1 species
CGGAGGAUCCAAGCGUUAUCCGGAAUCAUUGGGUUUAAAGGGUCCGUAGGCGGUUUAGUAAGUCAGUGGUGAAAGCCCAUCGCUCAACGGUGGAACGGCCAUUGAUACUGCUAAACUUGAAUUAUUAGGAAGUAACUAGAAUAUGUAGUGUAGCGGUGAAAUGCUUAGAGAUUACAUGGAAUACCAAUUGCGAAGGCAGGUUACUACUAAUGGAUUGACGCUGAUGGACGAAAGCGUGGGUAGCGAACAGGAUUAGAUACCCUGGUAGUCCACGCCGUAAACGAUGGAUACUAGCUGUUGGGGGCAACUUCAGUGGCUAAGCGAAAGUGAUAAGUAUACCCACCUGGGGAGUACGUUCGCAAGAAUG